AGAGUUUGAUCAUGGCUCAGGAUGAACGCUAGCUACAGGCUUAACACAUGCAAGUCGAGGGGAAACGACAUCGAAAGCUUGCUUUUGAUGGGCGUCGACCGGCGCACGGGUGAGUAACGCGUAUCCAACCUGCCCACCACUUGGGGAUAACCUUGCGAAAGUAAGACUAAUACCCAAUGACGUCUCUAGAAGACAUCUGAAGGAGAUUAAAGAUUUAUCGGUGAUGGAUGGGGAUGCGUCUGAUUAGCUUGUUGGCGGGGUAACGCCACAAGGCGACGAUCAGUAGGGGUUCUGAGAGGAGUCCCCCANAUUGGAACUGAGACACGGUCCAAACUCCGUACGGGAGCA
rnacentral:rRNA from 1 species